UGAUCGUUACCGUGAUGAUCGUUGUAGUCGCAACGAGUUGAAUCGAGAUCAGAAUCGUAGCUGUGUUCGCGAAUCAUGGGUAGCGUGGACCAAGCCAUGGAUUCUACAUGGGAAUAUCUGGGUAGUGAGGUACACGCGCCGUCUGUGUAUUUCACAGCAGACAGGAUUGUGGACGCGAUCUCUUCAAUUUGUACUGCGGAUGUGAAUACAUUUUACCCGCUACGAUACUGAAGGGGCCUGGUGGCGUGGUAAAGGUUUACAACUUGGGCGUGAAGGACGUGGAAUUCAAGGCGGGGCAGGUGCUUGUUCGCGGACAAAGCUGUGUGGAGGUAUUGGGCAGAAAAGAAAACGAAAUUGAUGGCCGAGCUGUUACGCCAUCUACAUCCGCCUGCUGAGCCUGCACGUAGCAGAGCGGAGCUACAACGCCAUCUACAUCCGCCUACUCGCCAGCAAAACGGAAGUCGUCGCUGAUCAAUCUUUAAUGCCAACGAUAUCGUCACAUCCC